rnacentral:rRNA from 1 species
CCUACGGGUGACUGCAGUGGGGGAUAUUGCACAAUGGGGGCAACCCUGAUGCAGCGACGCCGCGUGUGCGAAGAAGUAUUUCGGGUUGUAAAGCCCUAUCAGCGGGGAAGAAGGAAUUACGGUUCCUGACUACAACACACCGGCUAAAUCCCGGCCAGCAGCCACGGUAAUACGGAGGGAGCAAGCGUUCUCCGGAUUUACGGGCAGUAAAGGGACCGCAGGCGGCACGUCAAGCCUGAUGUGAACGCCCGGGUCCCAACCGCGGGACUGCAUUGGGAACUACCGGGCUGGAGUGUCGGAGAGGUAGGUGGAAUUCCAAGUGUAGCGGUGAAAUGCGUAGAGAGUAGGAGGAACACCAGUGGCGAAGGCGGCCUACUGGACGGUGACUGACGCUGAGGCGCGAAAGCGUGGGGAGCAAACAGGAUUAGAUACCCCUGUAGUC